rnacentral:rRNA from 1 species
CAGUAGCCGCGGUAAAACAGAGGGUGCGAGCGUUAAUCGGAUUUACUGGGCGUAAAGCGUGCGUAGGCGGCUUCUUAAGUCGGAUGUGAAAUCCCUGAGCUUAACUUAGGAAUUGCAUUCGAUACUGGGAAGCUAGAGUAUGGGAGAGGAUGGUAGAAUUCCAGGUGUAGCGGUGAAAUGCGUGGAGAUCUGGAGGAAUACCGAUGGCGAAGGCAGCCAUCUGGCCUAAUACUGACGCUGAGGUACGAAAGCAUGGGGAGCAAACAGGAUUAGAUACCCCGGUAGUCCCUGUCUCUUAUAC